rnacentral:sRNA from 1 species
GUUUGUGUUCUUGUUUCUUCUUCUUCUUCUUUUG